rnacentral:rRNA from 1 species
UACGGAGGGGACUGGCGUUGUUCGGAAUUACUGGGCGUAAAGCGCACGUAGGCGGAUUUGUAAGUCAGGGGUGAAAUCCCGGGGCUCAACCUCGGAACUGCCUUUGAUACUGCAAAUCUCGAGUCCGGAAGAGGUGAGUGGAAUUCCUAGUGUAGAGGUGAAAUUCGUAGAUAUUAGGAAGAACACCAGUGGCGAAGGCGGCUCACUGGUCCGGUACUGACGCUGAGGUGCGAAAGCGUGGGGAGCAAACAGG